UACUCCUACGGGAGGCAGCAGUGAGGAAUAUUGGUCAAUGGGCGGAAGCCUGAACCAGCCAAGUAGCGUGCAGGAUGACGGCCCUAUGGGUUGUAAACUGCUUUUAUACAGGAAUAAAGUUAGCCACGUGUGGUUAUUUGUAGGUACUGUAUGAAUAAGGACCGGCUAAUUCCGUGCCAGCGAGCCGCGGUAAUUGA
rnacentral:rRNA from 1 species